UCUACUCUGUCUGUUUUACAAGCGAUCAAACAUAACCUGACCUAAUUUAUAUCUAACAUUACUGUGCAUGGAAUUAAUGAAUCGAGUCAAAAUGAACACCAUUCUUCGCUUCAUUUCCACGAUCCUCAGCGCCACUUUCCUUUGCUGCCUUUGCAAACGACAAAAAUACGUGGCUGAUCCCGUAAGGGGUUGCGAUUAGACGGUGCGUGGGCGUAAAUCUAGCGACACGCAGCGGCUUGCAGAAAAAGCUGUAGAAAGAAAAAAGGCGUGUGCACUUGGAACCUAUUAGAAGUCCAGAAAAACCAACGGAAAUGAGAAAACAGGUUAAAGGAAGGAACGAAAAGGGAAUAAGGGAAAGUGUAGUAAAUACAAAAGCUUGAGACAAUUACGACAAAGUGGAAGUAGGAAUCGCAAACGAGACAAGUAGUGGGGAUACGAUGUAGCGAAUGUUGAACAGAGAUACUCAUGUAAUUUUUGUGCAUGCGACAAGAAUGGACAAUGCGCGUGGAAAGGGAAGGCAUGAGAGUGAGGGUAGAGGGAGUUGGCAAGCGUGCGCGUGAAAGAGUGGGGGAAGUAGAAAGAGAUGGAGAAUGCGAUAUACUCUACUAUGUUGGUUUGAGAGAGACAGAUUGAUUUUGGUCGCCGGGUAUCGAUCGUCGCGUUGAAAACUACCCCUCGAGUUGGAGGCGCAGUGUGCAAAACCGACUACGUACGAGUCGGUGGUGCUCGUGGUGAUCGCGGUCCACGCGGAUCUCUACGCUUUAGGCUCUUAGAGUUUUCACUUGCGUGUUCAUCGCGAUUUCCUCAGUUGUGGACUAUCCACGGCACAGAUCAUCAACAGUUUUAAAAGUGCCGCAAGGACGUGUAUAAGGCUUUCUGCUUAUUUCUGUCUAGAGAGAGAAUAGAAGUAUCAUCAACACCACCAUGGCGUUCGCAGGGUUAAAAAAACAGAUUAACAAAGCAAAUCAGUAUAUGACAGAGAAGAUGGGCGGAGCGGAAGGAACCAAGCUCGACGUUGACUUUAUGGAUAUGGAGAGGAAAACGGAUGUCACGUAUGAGCUGGUGGAGGAGUUACAAAUGAAAACGAAAGAGUUCCUUCAGCCAAAUCCAACUGCAAGAGCGAAGAUGGCCGCGGUCAAGGGCAUCAGUAAGCUCAGCGGUCAGGCAAAAGCCUCGACUUACCCCCAACCAGAAGGUGUUCUCGGCGAUUGCAUGCUUAUUUAUGGAAAGAAAUUGGGAGAGGAUAGUAUUUUCGCUCAGGCUCUGGUUGAAAUGGGCGAGGCGAUGAAGCAGAUGGCGGACGUGAAAUAUUCUCUGGACGACAACAUUAAACAAAACUUCCUGGAGCCUCUGCACCAUUUGCAGACCAAAGACUUGAAAGAAGUGAUGCAUCACCGGAAAAAGCUUCAGGGACGAAGGCUGGACUUCGAUUGCAAGCGGAGACGUCAAGCGAAAGCAACUGGAAAAAGAUCAGCCAGUCCUCAUUUUGGAAGUCCAGUGAAGUCUUCUUCACCAUACACUGGUUCUCACGUUUCAGACGACGAAAUUCGUCAAGCAGAAGAGAAAUUUGCAGAGAGUCUCCAUCUGGCACAAUUGGGCAUGUUCAACCUUUUGGAGAAUGAUGUUGAACAAGUGGCACAGUUGGCAACAUUCAGUGAAGGUCUCCUGGAGUACCAUCAGCAGUGUACUGAGAUUCUAAGAACACUAACAGAGACACUUUUGGAGAAGAAAGACGAGGCAGCGAACAAACCAAAAAUGGAAUUCAUACCGAAGACAUUGGCCGAUUUACACGUCGAUGCAUUACCUACAUCGGAUGCUAUGAACGGUGGGAACUUCUCCUUCCACGGGGCAAGUCGAGCCGGGUCUCCGAUUCAUGGGGAUGGGAAGCGCUCGCAGCUUGAGCUAUUUCCAGCCGGAAACCCGCCACAAUCUGCCAAUGGUAAAUUUUGCAUGGGGUUGGUUUCUCCUAUCGUAGGUUUCGAUCGAUCGAUUAAUUAUUCAAUUUCAAUUCUAUCGCUUUUCGUGCACCGCAAACAGGGCAAGAAACUUCGCCCUUGCCAUCACCGAGCAAAUCGCCAGCCAGGACUCCGAUGACAAGACAACCUUGCUGUACAGCUUUGUACGAUUUCGAGGCAGAAAAUCCUGGAGAACUCGGCUUUAAAGAAAAUGAUACGAUCACUUUGACCAAAAAGAUUGACGAGAACUGGUUCGAGGGUAGCCUGAACGGUCGUACGGGUUAUUUCCCAGUAACUUACGUGCAAGUCGUAGUGCCAUUACCUUAAGGAGACGCGGUGCGUCUCGAAACCAAAGACCCUGCAUUCGUUCAUCAGCGUUUACCACGAGAAUUACCUUAAAUUAACAAACAAUUAGCCUAAAAAUCUCUCUUUCAAGAUUACUCUCUUCCCUACUGAAAUCACUUAUUGCGUUAUGGUUCGCUUAUUCGAAAUGGAUGAAUCCUCAAGUUCUACUCUAUUCACUUAUUUUAUUUCUUUCCUUUUGUCCCCAGGAAUAGCUCUAUACGCAUGUUAAUGUACAUAUAUAAUGUUAUAGUGUCUUUUAUCGACGUAAGGACCUUCGCGCGCGCAGAUACAUAUAUAUAUAACACAUGACUUACAGUACUACAAUUAAGUAUGAACACACGUAUACACGUACACGAGAUAUACAUGUACACACAAUGUUAUACAUCAUGAAGUACCUACGAUGGCAGUCCACUGUCAAGGGCGGCUCUUUUCUCACUUUUUAAUGUCGCUUCAUGUGUCAUCGAUUUAAUAUCAUUAAUUUCUCACCAAAGUUUUAUUGCACAAAGACAUCAGAGCGCCAAGACUGCAUUGAAAUUUUUCAAAAUACUUUUUACCUCAAGUAUUUUCCCGUUCAUUCAAUCAACAAUCAUAUACUCAUUUAGUAGACAUAGAACAAAAUAAUAUUGCCUAUUAAGUGAUGGUUGAUCUGCUCGGAAUCGAUUUUUCAGUCAUAAGUAUUUGAAUCACUCGAUAUAUCAUGUUCAUAUUUCAUGAUUUCAUUCAACGUUCAUGUUUUCAUGUUGUAUAUUUCUUUCCAUACAUUUGUUAUUUGUUCAUCAUGUUCUCAAGUGCAUUGUUCCUAAUAUAAGGGGAGAGAGAGAGAGAGAGAGAAAGAGAGAGAGAGAGAGAGAGAGGUAAUUGAAAUCAUGUCAUCCAUUUUGCGUUGGUCCGCACGGCGCAGCAAAAAAGAAGCCACAUAAUUCGUAUUAUUAAUAUGGAUUCGUAUGUUGUAUAGUAAUUCCUUUUCAUUCCUCUAUCAUUUUUUCAACGUUUAUCUCGUAUCAUUUGUCAUUUUUUUUUAAUCAUUUAGGUGACACCGACUAGAGAGUUAGAAUUUAGUUAAGCGAUCUUCAAAAUGGCGGCGAACCUCUUCCACGAAGUCGUCGAUUAAUAUUUAAUGAAUAAUUAAAAAUAUUCCAUGUUUUCCAUUCUGACUGUUUCGAGUCGUGACGCAGAAUAUGAUUAACUAUGUAUUUCUGUCAGUCAGCAUUUCUAAUUCAUUUAAAACUUGUUAAUUCUGAGCUCCUUCUGUGUUAUAGUCUCAAAUUGUCUUCAUUUUUUUAAGAUUUUAGUUCUUGUUAAGUGUAACUUCUUAGCAAAUUAAUUCGAAUGACUAGUAAAACGCGAUAUUUUCGGAAUAAAAUAGAUUUUACUUUACUAAGUAUUUUAGAGAUUAGAUAUUUUAAUUUCUAUUCUUCUUGGACUUUGUACGAGAGUUCAACCGCCAGAACAAUGAAAGUAAUUAAGGAACUUGGUUAUUUGUUGCCACGUGGAUUUUAGGUAAAAAAUCUUCAAACAAAAUAUUUGCUAAGCAUAAUAUAAUAAUGUUAGAGUAUAUAACUUACAUAUUAUAUACAUAUACAAUAUAUAUACAUAUAUGUUGUCGAUGACGGCGACAACAGUGAUGACUACGACGAUGGCAUUAUUAUUACUGGUACUCGUAUAUUUUUCCAUUUACUGUUACAAUGAAAACAUUUUCCAUGAUAAAAAACGUUCUUGGCCUUACUUUAUAUUUUUAACUGUUCCAAUAGCAGUUUCAUAUAGUUGGUAUUUUAUGAAUUAUAACAACUCGCUAAGAACGACGUUCCAAUGUGAGUGCGUUUCAUGAUUAAAAAUUUUAUGACUGGGAUCUUUCCUAAUGUAGAGAUUAUAACAGAUUAUAAAAUUUCAAAUCCGCAUAUAAUUUACGAUAGUUUAUGUAAAUUCAUAUUUUUAUGUGUAUUUGGAUAUGAGGACUUCUUUCAUUCUCUAUAUAUUGUCGUCGAUACUUUAAAUGUUUUGUAUAUUUUUGCAUUACAUACAUUUCCUACGAAUGCAUAAGGUCUGCAAUCUAAUUAUUAACCAUUUAAUGUACAUAUCCGUGAUACACAUUACAUUUAAUUUAACCAAUAUUAAAAUUUAACCUAUAUAAAUUUUUAUAAUAUAACUAAUUUUACUGUCUAUUUUAUGAGCAAAAUGAAAAGAUUAAUAAUUAUUACCUGUUGAUCUUUUCCUGAUCUCUUUUUAGUUAUCAUGAUGAUAAAAAGGAAAAAGGGAAUCCUAACUUCAAAAAAGAUAUAAAUUAUAACAUAUUUUAUUUCUUGAAGAUACAAAAUAUAAGAAUCGAGGAGAAAUGAAUUGGAACGUUGUUCUUACGACAUUUAAAAUUCUUAAGAACGAAACCUAUAGUUUGAUUUGCCACGAAAAUGAAAAUCGUUCCGAGUUAUCAGCUGAUGUAUUUGAAUACCACACUACUAUCGUCAUCAGCGUUCAGUCAUUGCGAAGACGAAACAGAAAGAGAAAAAAAGAAAACGAAGUAGAAGAGACAUUCAUAUAAUUUUAUCUAUUGUAAUUCAUCAUAAGUCGCAUAAAACUUUUUCCGACAAAAAAAAUCGAAGUGUUAUCGAUGUUGUGCAAUAUUAAAAUUUUAACGUCAUGCUGUUUAAGUCACAAUCGCUGGAUCAGUGUUUCUCAAAGGCACGAUUGAAGAAAAGGGAAAAGAUAAAUCUGAUAGUAAAUAAACAAAUGCCUUCGAUGUUAGAUAUCAAUGAUCUUUCGAAUGAAAGCGUAAUCUUAUUACGUAUUUCUUCUUUCGAGCAAUAGAGGAACAAAACUCUCGUUCUUUGUGAUUUUUGUCUUCGGCAGAGCAAAACGACGCGAAAGAACGUAACAAUUGUAGCGACUAGGUGCCAUACAGAGAAUGUAUUCGUAAUUAUAAUUGUCGAAAAUGUAACAGCUUAUAGCUACAAAACCACAGGUUGUGAUAACCUUAUGUUCUUUCGAGCGUUAGCCGCUGCUAAAGAAUUUCGUCAAUUAAUAAAAAUACGCGAAUUAGUGAGGCGUGAGUUUCAUCUUCCAAGCGUUGUCGAGAAUCGUUGAGAGAUAUAUAGUUAGAUAAAAUCAUGAUUGAGAAGGUUGGGAAUCUUGUAACUUGCGUCCACAUGCAAACGAUAGCAAUAUAAGUAUCUUUCUAGAACGAGAGACAUAUCAUCGAGAUUAUCUUUUUGCGGUUUGAGAAACACUGCACUGGUACAUACAUACAUAUGUACGUUUAAAAAAAGAGUAUCAUGAGGGAUUUAUUCUCGUUGAGUGAUAAUUAUUGUUGCCCUCGCGGACCUAUAACAACAAUUUCUGUCAACUGGGAAUUAUAAUACGAUCGACGAUUGUCGAGAAAAAUAAAAGGAGAACGAGAUGAAACGAUCUAUGAAUAACUAAAAAAAAAACAGAUCGGUAUCUUACUCUAUAAAUGUUGGCUAUUGUUAAAUGUUGAAUAUUGUUCUGCGGAGGGCUUGCCUCCUUUUCGAACGAUGGAGCACGCUCGAAGCUUCGAAUUGACUGUUUAUUUUAAAGAAUUAUGUUAAUAGUUUUACAGCGAUUAUUAGACUGCGAAUAUUUAUGUAUUGAAUAUAUAUUAUAUAUUUAUGGAAAUCUCAAAGUGCAAAAUUACAUAAAAUACUCGAAGUAUAGUGAAACAGAUCUUUGCUUAGAUUUCAUUUUCUUAAUUAUAUUAAAAAGAGUGUAAAUGCUUGCAGUCUAGUAAUCGUUAGUCUUGUUUUUCUUUUUUUUACCUUUCUUAAUGGCGACGAAGAAGCAUUUUAUAUAUAUAUAAGUACAUAUGUAUACGUACGUUUACUAGGUUAUAUUUCUUAUAGAAAUGCGUUAUUUGUAAUAUGUAUAUGUAGGUAGAUUUACUAUUUUAGGGUGUUCUGAAAAUUCUUAGCGAAAGUUAAGAAAGAUUUCAUUGAAAUUGGAAUUUUCGCAAUCUAUAAUUUCACGAAUUUAUUUCUAAAAAAUUGUUUGUUCAGUAAUGGGUUUCCUCAAAUAGGUUUUACCGCCUUCCAGAGUAUUUCACUUUUUUAGCUUUCGAAUAAGCUUUACAAAGAGCGCAAUAACAAUGAGACUAUACUAUAUUCAGUGAAUGAGAUAAAGGUGAAUCUAUCAGUUACGACUCAAAAUUUCUUAAAUGUAUGAGAUUCAACAUCCUUUCAAUGAAAAAAGGAAACUUAUUUUAUUAACGAAUUUUCGGUGUUCCUCCUUAAUUCUCUCUAGUAUUCAACUAAGAGCAGCGAACGUUUCGUUAUUCAAUAGAAAUUUAUAAUAAAAAUGCUACGAACUUUUUGAAAAAAACAUUAUUUCAAGUAGUGUAUUUUAUGUAGAGGUUAACUUAUUUUCGAACGCAUAAAUUUCGUUCGAAACGACAAGCUCUCCGCAUUUUAAUUGUAAUCUAACUAUUUCGGGGUCGGGGCGACAUUGAAUCUACCGCCCCCCGCAGUCACUGAGCAUCCUUGGUCUGGAAAACUCGAAUUACAGACGCUAUUCUUUUUUCCUCCUAUCUUGUAUAGUUUAGUUUUUCAUCGUUCUUCUAUAACCCACGGUUCUUUAUUCGAAACUCUUCCUUUCAAAUUUCUCGUGAUUCUGGUCCACUUAUAUUUUGUAAGCGUCAAAAUGUUUGGAAUUCAUCGAGAAACACGAAAGGAAGCGGGAUAUUUUUCUUCCUUUGUUCUUUUUGUAGGUUAUGUUUUUUAAGCUUCUUGUCUCGGAUCUCGUUUUCUUGUUAAUUUGUUUGGUUGUCCUUGACGAAGUGCGAAGAGACGACCAGUGGAUGCAACGCAGUGAUACUUUCAGACAAUACAUUACAAUUAAUUACACUUAUAUUAAUAAAUUAAUCUAUUAUGAUUAUUGAACUUCGAUCGAAGAGGAAUAUACGAUAUGUACUCGAUUUCGAUCAAUGCUAAAUAAUUAUUAUCACUAAUUAAGAAAUAAAGUGUGCUCUAUGUCAUGCUA